rnacentral:lncRNA from 1 species
UAUAUAUAUAUAUAUAUGCAUCAUCUGAUAACUAAUUCGAACACAUCAAUGAUUUAUACACAACUAACGACCAUGAGAAGCUAUACAAGCCAGUAAAGCAGCGCGAACUGAUGAAAAUCACAGCAUGGACAGGCCAUUGGCAUACAAACAACAACCAUUUUUUUAGACAUAAAGCCAAUCCAUUUAUCAUCCAACUCUAAUCACUAAACGCGAGCUGCAAACCUGAAAUCCUAAAUCCUAACAACCUUGCAAGAACCGCUACUUCAGCCACGGUCUUUCUAUCCAUACUAGAACGGAAAACCAAACCCUGACUCAACCUAUGCCCAUGCCGAUGCUCCGCGCUUCGACAUCAGAGAACCGGGCAAUAACUAGAGCUCCUUCGUCUCGGGCGUCGGCGGCUUAUAGGGCUCGAACGAUCCCAGAGGAAACGGAAAAAAUGAUAGAGGGAGAGCGCUUACCAUGGAUGGCUACCGGUGUCCGGUGUCCGUCGGCGGCGGAGAGGGGGCGGAUGAAGGAAGAGGGAAGGAUGGGGCCGGUCAAAUCGAGAGAGAGAGAGAGAGAGAGCGAGGGAGGGGUUGACCGGAGGAUUCAUGAUCGUAUAAAUAAAGCUGCACGCAUAUGUGUGAUUUUGGGGGCAAACGGAUGAGGAGCAGGUCGGAACCCCGCG